CCUACGGGUGGCAGCAGUGGGGAAUAUUGGACAAUGGGCGAAAGCCUGAUCCAGCCAUGCCGCGUGUGUGAAGAAGGCCUUCGGGUUGUAAAGCACUUUCAGUGGGGAAGAAAGCCUUGGGGCUAAUACCCUCGAGGAAGGACAUCACCCACAGAAGAAGCACCGGCUAACUCCGUGCCAGCAGCCGCGGUAAUACGGAGGGUGCGAGCGUUAAUCGGAAUUACUGGGCGUAAAGCGCGCGUAGGCGGUCUGAUAAGCCGGUUGUGAAAGCCCCGGGCUCAACCUGGGAACGGCAUCCGGAACUGUCAGGCUAGAGUGCAGGAGAGGAAGGUAGAAUUCCCGGGGUAGCGGUGAAAUGCGUAGAGAUCGGGAGGAAUACCAGUGGCGAAGGCGGCCUUCUGGACUGACACUGACGCUGAGGUGCGAAAGCGUGGGUAGCAAACAGGAUUAGAUACCCUUGUAGUC
rnacentral:rRNA from 1 species